CGGCAACAGCUCAAAUUUGAAAUCUGGCGCAAGCCCGAGUUGUAAUUUGUAGAGGAUGCUUCUGGGUAGCGACCGAUCUAAGUUCCUUGGAACAGGACGUCAUAGAGGGUGAGAAUCCCGUAUGUGACCGGCCCGCACCCUUUACGUAGCUCCUUCGACGAGUCGAGUUGUUUGGGAAUGCAGCUCUAAAUGGGAGGUAAAUUUCUUCUAAAGCUAAAUACCGGCCAGAGACCGAUAGCGCACAAGUAGAGUGAUCGAAAGAUGAAAAGUACUUUGGAAAGAGAGUUAAAAAGCACGUGAAAUUGUUGAAAGGGAAGCGCCUGCAACCAGACUUCGCGGCAGUGUUCCGCCGGUCUUCUGACCGGUUCAUUCUCUGUCGCGAGGCCAUCAUCGUCUGGGCCCGCCGGAUAAGACCUGAGGAAUGUGGCUCCCCCUCGGGGGAGUGUUAUAGCCUCUGGUGAUGCGGCGAGGCUCGGGCGAGGUCCGCGCUUCGGCAAGGAUGAUGGCGUAAUGGUUGUCGGCGGCCCGUCUUGAAACACGGACCAAGGAGUCUAACAUCUAUGCGAGUGUUCGGGUGUCAAACCCCUACGCGUAAUGAAAGUGAACGGAGGUGGGAACCGCAAGGUGCACCAUCGACCGAUCCUGAUGUCCUCGGAUGGAUUUGAGUAAGAGCAUAGCUGUUGGGACCCGAAAGAUGGUGAACUAUGCCUGAAUAGGGUGAAGCCAGAGGAAACUCUGG
rnacentral:rRNA from 1 species